AUGUUGAAGGCCGUCAACCAGCUGCUUUAUCCCAAGGCUGGUCGGUGGGGUCUGCUUAACUCUGCGAACAUCGUCCUAAUCCCAAAGAAAGAUGGACCCUGCGAUGCCUUAGAUUUCCAGCCAAUCAGCCUCAUGCUUAGCAUUGCAAAAAUCUUGUGCAAACUGUUGGCGAAUCGGUUGGCUCCCGAGCUAGAUGUCUUGGUGUCCCACGGUCAGAGUGCCUUUUAUCAAAAGGAGAUGCAUCCAAGACAACUUAUACUUCCAGAAUGUCAUUAG
rnacentral:rRNA from 1 species